rnacentral:rRNA from 1 species
AAUUUUGGACAAUGGGGGAAACCCUGCUCCAGCCAUCCCGCGUGUAUGAUGAAGGCCUUCGGGUUGUAAAGUACUUUUGGCAGAGAAGAAAAGGUAUCUCCUAAUACGAGAUCCUGCUGACGGUAUCUUCGGAAUAAGCACCUGCUAACUACGUGCCAGCAGCCGCGGUAAUCCGUAGGGUGCAAGCGUUAAUCGGUAUUACUGGGUGGAAAGCGGGUGGAAGCGGUUCGGAAAAGAAGAUGUGAAAUCCCAGGGCUCAACCUUGGAACUGCAUUUUUAACUGCCGAGCUAGAGUAUGUCAGAGGGGGGUAGAAUUCCACGUGUAGCAGUGAAAUGCGUAGAUAUGUGGAGGAAUACCGAUGGCGAAGGCAGCCCCCUGGGAUAAUACUGACGCUCAGACACGAAAGCGUGGGGAGCAAACA